rnacentral:rRNA from 1 species
CCUACGGGAGGCAGCAGUGAGGAAUAUUGGUCAAUGGGCGAGAGCCUGAACCAGCCAAGUCGCGUGAAGGAUGACGGCCAUACGGGUUGUAAACUUCUUUUGUCAGGGAGCAAUUGGGUCCACGCGUGGGCUUAGCGAGAGUACCUGAAGAAAAAGCAUCGGCUAACUCCGUGCCAGCAGCCGCGGUAAUACGGAGGAUGCGAGCGUUAUCCGGAUUUAUUGGGUUUAAAGGGUGCGUAGGCGGAAUAUCAAGUCAGCGGUAAAAAUUCGGGGCUCAACGUGGGAACUGCCUUUGAAACUGGCAAACUGGAGUGUGUGGGAGGAUAGUGGAAUUCCAGGUGGAUGAGUGAAAUCCGUAGAUAUCUGGAGGAAAAUCAGUGGCGAAGGCGACUAUCUGGCACAUAACUGACGCUGAGGAGCGAAAGUGUGGGUAUCAAACAGGAUUAGAUACCCUGGUAGUC